ACCCCUAUUUGGAUGGGGCUUACGACUGAUCAUGAAGGUUCGUGGCCUAGAUCCACGGCUCAAAUUGCAAUUGAUGAGCAUGUUGUUCUACCAUCUCCCCAAUUGGGGGAAUGGACGUCAUAAGUUUUGGAAGAGGGGGUAUGCGUUUGUGCAGCCACUAC
rnacentral:snRNA from 2 species